GACGAACCGAGCGAACGUUGUUCGGAAUCACUGGGCUUAAAGGGCGCGUAGGCGGGUACUCAAGUCUGUGGUGAAAUCCUCCGGCUCAACCGGAGAACUGCCAUGGAUACUGGGUGUCUCGAGGGUGGUAGGGGUAUGCGGAACUAUCGGUGGAGCGGUGAAAUGCGUUGAUAUCGAUAGGAACUCCGGUGGCGAAGGCGGCAUACUGGACCACAUCUGACGCUGAGGCGCGAAAGCCAGGGGAGCGAACGGG
rnacentral:rRNA from 1 species